UCAAUUUAUUGCAGUAUUGCUCAGAACCUUUAACAUGCUAAUAUGCAUUGGGAUCCCCACUUAUGGGAUCAUGUGGUCUUUUUUCCUAGAACAUGCUGUAGGAUUCUGUUCUGUUGUCCCCUCUUUGGGGAGGUGGACAUCCACAUUGAGUAGACCCCUGCUGACAGACGCUGGUGUCCAGCGUGGACAGAUCAAAUCAAUAGCUCUGUUUUGAAAAUGGGCCAGAGCCAGCUCAUUCCUGUCCGGGUGCAACCCCAGUUGAACUAGAAUGGAGGCUUGUCUAGGGUGCUGUGGGAAUACAGAGGAGGGUGAUUAACUCUCCUGGGGGAAGUCAGAGAAGGCCAACUCUCAGGGUCAUGUUUUUUCUGGGUAUUGAAGGACGGGUAAGAGUGUGUAUAGCAAAUGAGAGUGUGAAAGAGCAUUACAGACACAGAAAACAGCAAGUGCAAAGGUCCUGAGGUGUGAAAAAGCAUGAUGUGUUUGGGGAGAGGUGAGAAAUUCAGUGUGCUUGGAGAGGAGUGUGCUAGGGGUGGCUUUUAAGGAGAUGAAGGUGAGAAUAGGCUUGUUAAACUGUGAAGGGCCUUGGGCGUCAGGCCAAGGGGUUUGAUUCUUGGGCAAGAGGAGUCAACAGAGGGUUUUAAAAAAUUAUUAAUCAAUUAGACUAUACAUGCACUGCAGCACAAAUCAAACGUUUGUUGUUGUUGAGCCGACUCUGACUAAUGGAAAACUCAUGUACAACAGAACAGAACGUUGCCCGGUCCUGCACCAUCUUUGGGAUCUUUGAGUCCAUUGUUGUGGCUAUUGUGCCAAUCUACCUCAUUGAGGGUUUCUCUCAUUUUCAUUGGUCCUUGACUUUGCCAAACAUGAAGUUCUUUGUAGAGACUGGUCUUUCCUGAUAACGUGCCCAAAGUAAGGGAGUCAGAUUCUUCACAUCCUCGCUUCUAAAGAACAUUCUGGUUGUACUUCUUCUAAGAUUAAAGGUGAACAAGGUAAACAGUGAGCAAUGAGCCUCCUUCCCUCUCUGUUCCUAGCCCCAAGAGCCCCUUACCCUCUACAGAAUCAGAUACUGUCAUCCUUCCAGAGGGAUCUUUUGCAUGUACAAGCAUAGAUGUAUAUAUCCUUUAAAAACCCACAAAUGACAGCAUUCUAAACACACUGUUCAGCACUUCGCUUUUUUCACUUAACAAUAUAUCUUAGAGAUUGUUUCACAUCCCUACAUAAAGAGCUGCCUCAUUCUUUUUUUAACAGCCAUAAAGAUUUCCAUUGUAUGAAUGUAUUGUGAUUUAUUUAAGCAGUCCCCUCUUGAUGGACAUUAAGGCUGUCUCCAAUCUUCUGUUAUUACAAGCCAUGCUGCAGUGAAUAGCCUUGUAUAUCCAACUUUGCAUAUAUAUAUGCAGCUAUGUCUGAAGAAUACAUUCUAGAACAGUGGAAUUUAUGGGCCAAUGGUAUGUGCAUUAAACAUUUUGAUACAGAGUGCCAAAUUGCCAUUCAUGGGGACUGUGUCAAUUGACACUCCUACCAGACUUUGAGAGUGCUGGCUUCUCCAUACUCUUGCCAACACAGGCUGUGAUCAAACACUUGAUUAUUGUCAGUCUGAUAGGUAGAAAAAAGAGUAUCUCAUUGGAGUUCAAAUUUGCAUUUCUUUUUGAUUAAGACUAAGAUUGAACAUCUUUUUGUAUGUUUGAAGGCUAUUUAAAUUUCCUGAUCUGUGGACUGCCUGUUCACAACCCUUGCCCAUUUUUUAUUGGAUUGUUGGCCUUUUUUCCUUACUGAAUUGUUAGAACUCUAGUAUAGUGGCCAUAACUCUUGCCUGUUGUUUAAUUUUCUCAUGCCCAUGGCUCAUUCUGUAGGUGUCCAUCCCUGGAGAUGCAGCGUGUAUAUACAAAUAUUCUUUGUUUGAGAUGAGGUGGCCAGGAAUUGGUGGAGGUUAGGAGAAUGGGGACUCUGGUGAGCUCUUCUAUUGGACAUAACUAAUGGGAUGGGGCACUUGUACUCCUUGGCAGAGAAGCAGACCAUUCUGGAAGCUUCUGAUUACAGUGGGGUUGGCUCUUCCUGAUCUCUGUCAGAUCUCUUCUUUUCUCCCUGAUUUGAUACCACUUUCCCUCCUUACACUCUGGAGUCCUCUUUGCUCAGCUUCCCCUUUCCUAAUAUUAGCACAGGCACAGCCCUGCCCCCAUCACAAGCAGUGAUUAUAUAGCAAAUUAACCACAAGCUGUUCUGUUCUUGUCCAGUGGCAGUUGGGGAGAUGUUACUCUUGAGUAAUGACUUGUAUAGUCGAUGCUCUCAUCUGUAAUUUGCAUAUGCAAUAAAUGCAGAAAUAAAAACUUGAUCCAUAUGAAAAAGGGACCAAGUGGAAAGGGCGGGGGUGGGGGAAGAAAUCAUGAAUUUUGUGGACUGCGUCUUACAGUCUGGCUUCAAUUUCCUCUUGAGUAAUACAGUCAUUGCCUACAUUUAAUUGAUGGCUGUGUUUGGCUAAAGGAUGGAGGCAGGCAGAGGGAGAGUCAGAGAGCAGAAUCCUGACUCCUCAAAAUGUGUCUUUGAGAAUGGGGCAAUUAUUCUCUAAGCCUCAGCUUCCUCAUCUAUAAAAUGGGGGUGAUAAUACCUAUCUCCAGCAAGGUGUUAAAGAGCCUGGAUUCUGGAACAUGGUAAAUCCAUAGUAAACAUUACUUUUCUUUCCUCCUUGCUUCUUUCCUUCUCUUCUUGUCUCCCCUUCCUUCUCUCUUUUUCUCUUCCCUCCUCCUUCCCUUUCUACUCCCUCUUUUCCUACCUCCGUUCCAUCCAUCCUUCCUUCCAUUAUCAUCCCAUUCUCACCAUGUUUGAUAUAAAGGGAUAUAUCAGGUAGGGAUUUUUUUUUAUUAAGCUUUUUAUUUUGGGAUAAUUACAGAUUCACACACAAGUAAAAAUUUUGCUGAAGAUCAUUCAAAAGCAAUCGCAGCACUACAUCAACAGGGAACUGCCAGAAAUUCAAGCCAGAUUCAGAAGAGGACAUGGAAUGAGGGAUAUCAUUGCUGAUGUCAGAUGUAUCGUGACUGAAAGCAGAGAAUACCAGAAAGAUGUUUACCUGUGUUUUAUUGACUAUGCUAAGGCAUUCACUUGUGUGGAUCAUAACAAAUUAUGGAUAACAUUUCAAAGAAUGGUAAUUCCAGAACACCUAACUGUGCUAAUGAGGAAACUGUACAUAGACCACGAAGCAGUUGUUUUAACUGAACAAGAGAAUACUGCACGGUUUAAAAUCAGGAAAGGUGUGUGUCAGGGUAUAUCCUUUCACCGUACCUAUUCAAUCUGUAUCCUGAACAAAUAAUGCAAGAAACUGGACGACACAGCAUCAGAAUUGGAAGAAGACUCGUUUAUAGCCUGUGAUAUAUAGAUGACACACUUUGCUUGCUGAAAGUGAAGAGGGCUUGAAGCACUUAAUGAUGAAAAUCAAAGACCACAGCCUUCAGUAUGGAUUACACCUCAACCUAAAGAAAACAAAAAUCCCCACAGCUGGACCAAUUAGCAACAUCACGGUAAAUGGAGAAAAGAUUGAAGUUAUCAAAGAUUUCAUUUUACUUGGAUCCACAAUCAAUGCCCACGGAAGAAGCAGUCAAGAAAUCAAAGGACGUAUUGCACUGGCCAAAUCUGCUGCAAAAGACCUCUUUAAAGUGUUAAAAAGCAAAGAUAUCACUUUGAGGAGGACUAAGAUGUGCCUGACCCAAGCCAUGGUAUUUUCAACUGCCUCAUAUGCAUGCGAAAGCUGGACAAUAAAUGAGGAAGACUGAAGAAAAACUGAUGCCUUCGAAUUAUGGUGUUGGCAAACAAUAUUGAAUAUAUCAUGGACUGCCAAAAGACCAAACAAAUCUGCCUUGGGAGAAGUACAGCCAGAAUGCUCCUUAGAAACAAAGAUGGUGAGACUUUGUUUUGCAUACCUUGGUCAUGUUAUCAGGAGAGACCAGUCCCUGGAGAAAGACAUCAUGCUUAUUAAGGUAGAGGGUCAGCAAAAAAGAGGAAGACCUUCAGCGAGAUUGAUUGACACAGUGGUUGCAACAAUGGGCUCAAGCAUAACAACGAUUGUGAAGUUGGUGAAGGACCAGGUGGUGUUUCGUUCUGUUCUACAUAGAGUCACUAUGAGUUGGAAAAAACUAGACGGCACCUAACAACAAUGACUAACGAUGUUGAACAUCUUUUCAUGUGCUUAUUUGCUACUUGUAUGUCUUCUUAAGUGAAAUGUCUCUUCGUGUCUUUUGUCCAUGUUAAUUGUAUAUAUAUAUUUUUAUUGUUGAGUUUUUUUGAGCUGCCUUUUUUUGUGUGUGAAAUAACAGCUUUAUUGAGACAUAAUUUACAUACCAUAAAGUUCACCAGUAAUCAGUUGCAGCCCAGUUGAUUCUGACUCAUGGCGACCCGUGUGCGUCAGAGUAGAACUGUGUUCCAUGGGGUUUUCUUUUCUUUAAAUAAUAUUUUAUUGUGUUUUUGGUGAAGGUUUACACAGCAGUUUAGGUUCCCGUUCAACAAUUUCUGCACAAACUUUUCAGUGACAUUGUUUACAUUCUCCACAGUGCAUGAACAUUCUCAAUAUUUCUGUUCUGAUUGUUCUGUUCUCCACAGGAUUUUUAGUAGUUGAAUUUUUGGAAAUAGAUCAUGAGAUCUUCUGAGGUGUCUCUGGGUGGACUCAAAUCUCCAACUUUUCAGUUAGCAGCCAAAUGAAUUAACCGUUUGGACCACCCAGGGAGUCCUCACCCUUGUAAAGUAUAAAAUAUAGUGGUUUUUAGUAUAUUCACGAAGUGCACUCAUCACCACUGUCUAAUUCCAGAACAUUUUCAUCACCCUGCCCCCCCAAUAAAGCUCAUACACAUUAGCAGUCGAUCCCCAUUCUCCACCCCUGCCCUCGGGCCCUGGCAACCACUAUUUUUGAUCUUUAUGGAUUUGGCUAUUCUGGACAUUCCAUAUAAAAGAAUCAUAUAAUAUAUGAUGUUUUGUGUCUUACUUCUUUCACUUAGCAUAAUGUUUUCACGUUUCAUCCAUGUUGUAGCAUGUUUCAGAAUUUUAUUUCUUUUUAUGGCCAAAUAAUAUUCUACUUUUUCAGUAUACCAUGUAUUGUUUCUCAGUUAAUCAGUUGAUGGACAUUUGGGUUGUUUCCACUUUUUGGCUAUUAUGAAUAAUGCUGCUAUAAACAUUUGUGUGCAAGUAUUUGUGUGAACAUAUUUCUAAUUCCUUUGUGUGUAUACCUAGGAAUGAAUUGUUGAGUCUUAUGGUAACUCUGUUAAAUUUUUUAGGAACAGCCAGAGUAUUUUCUGAAGCUGCUACACCAUUUACAUUUCCACCAGCAAUGUAUGAGGAUUCCAAUAUCUCCUCAUCUUUGUCCACAUUUUUUAUUGUCUGUCUUUCUAUUAUAGCCAUCUUAGUGGGUGUGAAGUGGUAUCUCUUUAUAGUUUUUAUUUGUAUUUCUCUAAUGACUAAUGAUGUUGAGCAUCUUUUCAUGUGCUUAUUGGCCACUUAUUUAUCUUUGGAGAAAUAUCCAUUCAAUUUUUUUGCCCAUUUUUAAAUUGGGUUAUUUGUCUUUUUAUUGUUGAUUGGUAAGAAUUCUUUAUAUAUUCCAGAUAAAAGCCCCUUAUCAGAUAUAUGAUUAGAAAAUAUUUUCUCCCAUUCUGUGGGCUGUCUUUCCACAUUCUUGGUAGUCUCUUUUAAUGCAUGAAAGUUUUUAAUUUUGAUGCAGUCCAAUUUAUCUAUGUUUUCUUUUGUCACUAGUGCUUUUGGUGUUAUCACUAGAAACCGUCCCCUAAUUCACGAACAUACAGAUUUUAUCUUAUGCUGUCUUCUAAGAAUUUUUAUUGUUUGAGCUCCCACAUUUUUGUUUCUGAUCCAUUUUGAGUUACAUUUUUAAUGGUGUGAGGUAGGGCUUCAACUUCAUUCUUUUACAUCCAGCUGUCCCAGCACAAUUUUAUGAAAAGAUAAAUCUUUCCCCGUUGAAUUGUUUUGGAACUCUUGUUGAAAAAAACUGACUGUAAAUAUAAGAGCUUAUUCCUAGAUUUUGAAUUCUAUUCUUCUGGUCUAUUUUUCUAUCCUUAUAGUAACACAAUGUCCUGAUUACUGUUGCUUCGCAGUGAGUUUUGAAAUCAGGAAGUGUAAGUCCUCCAAUUUUGUUCUUCUUUUUAAAAAUUGUUUUGGCUAUUCUGGGUCUGUUGCAUUUCCCUAUGUAUUUUAGGGUCAGCUUGUUAAUUUCUUCAAAAAAGGCAACUGAAAUUUUAAUACGGUUUGUAUAAAUCAAUUUGAGAAAUAUUGUCCUUUUAACAAUAUGAAGUCUUACUAUCCAUGAAUAUUGAAUAUCCUUACAUUUAUUUAGGUCUUCUUUAACUUCUUUCAAUGAUGUUUUAUAGUUUUCAGUACAUGAGUCUUGCAUUUCUUUCGUUAAAUUUAUUCCUAUGUAUUUUAUCCUUUUUGAUGCUAUUGUAAAUUUUUUUCUUAAUUUCAUUUUUGGGUUGUUCAUUAUUAGUGUAUAGAAGUACAAUUGAUUUUUAUAUCUUGAUCUUAUAUCCUACAAGUUGCCAAAUUUGUUUAUCAGUUACGUAGUUUUUUAGUGGAUUUCUUAGGAUUUUCUAUAUAUGCAAUCAUGUCAUCUGCAAAGAGAGAUAGUUUCACUUUUUUCUUUCCAAUCUGGAUACCCUUUUUUUUUUUUUUUUUGCCUAAUUGCUCUGGCUAGAACCUCUGGUACAAUAUUGAAUAGAAGAAUAUAAAAGAACUUCCUCAAUCUAAUAAAGGUCAUUUACAAAAAUACAGCUAACAUCAUACUUAAUGGUGAAAGACUGGGUGCUUUCCCCCUAAGAUCAGGAACAAGACAAGAAUGUCUGCUCUUGCCACUUCUAAGGGAGCACACCAAUGCACAUUUCCAACAACAAUCUGUGUAAUCCACACUGAAGGCUGUAGUCUUUGAUCUUCAUCAUUUUCUUAUUUUUUACUGAACUUGCAAAUCCACUGGCAACCUCACAUAGUUGGACCAUUGAUUUAAGACCAUGAAUUGAAUAAUUCUUCAUUUCUUUGCUAGUUUGUGCAUGAACCCUCAGACUUUUUCUGUCAGUGCUCAUGACAGGAGUGUGGAGACCAGAUUUCACCAGAAAGGCUGAGCAUGAAGGACCCAAAGGCCUCUCGGUUGGGCUGCCUGCCUCAGUGGACCCCAUGGCGACAGGGCUCUGGGCUUGGCUCUGAGGAGAAACCGUAAGCCCUGAGGACAGAAGACUUGUCUGCCAUGCUCACUACCAUACCCCAGUGCCUGGCUGGUGCUGGGCUCCCAGGAGUUGAAAGAAAGAACGGACAAAUGGCCCUUCAGAACUGGUGGGUCAGGGCUACGGUGCCCUUUUAAGUUGAGUAAAUAGCAGAGACUGUUCUCUGACUAGAACUAAUGUUUUUUGGGGGACAAAAGGACAGAAUAUCUGAAAUUGAGGCCCAUCCUGGAAAAUCUGGUACAGCUGGUCACCACUGGAUGGCCGAGCCUCCUGACUCUCAAGUCUGCUGGGAGCUGGGGGAGUCACCCAUUUUGACUGUCAGCUGACAUCUGACCUCUAGAGCUGAUUAUUUCUCCCCUCCAUGAGCACAUUCCCAACAAAAUGGGGUCGAGAGAUAUUUGCAUCCAAACCACCAAGCUCUUUAAAUGCUGGGGCCGGGAGGCCCGCAUGGGUUUAUUAGAUUAUCAUUGCGGAAGUUAAUAAAGAAUUAAUUUCUCUUCAUGUGACAUCCAAAGGCAGUUAUUUCAGGAGCCUGUCCAUUUGCACAAAGCCAAGUAUUUGUCAAGUGUCAGAGGCAAUUCCCAGGUCCCAGCCCCCCCUCAAUAAUUCUGGAUUAGGGACAGCCUGAAAUGACAUUACACAAAUUUUCCUUCAAGAUGCAUUGAGCUCUGGGGAGCACUCAGGAAUUUCAGGUUCCUGAA